ACAAUGGAGAGUUUGAUCCUGGCUCAGGAUGAACGCUAGCUACAGGCUUAACACAUGCAAGUCGCGGGGCAGCAUGGGGGUUGCUUGCAAUCCCUGAUGGCGACCGGCGCACGGGUGAGUAACGCGUAUCCAACCUGCCCUUCACCACGGGAUAACCCGGCGAAAGUCGGACUAAUACCGUAUGUUGUCCAUUGACGGCAUCCGAUUUGGACGAAAGGCUUAGCGGUGAGGGAUGGGGAUGCGUCCGAUUAGCUCGACGGCGGGGUAACGGCCCACCGUGGCGACGAUCGGUAGGGGUUCUGAGAGGAAGGUCCCCCACACUGGAACUGAGACACGGUCCAGACUCCUACGGGAGGCAGCAGUGAGGAAUAUUGGUCAAUGGGCGUAAGCCUGAACCAGCCAAGUAGCGUGCAGGAUGACGGCCCUAUGGGUUGUAAACUGCUUUUAUGCGGGGAUAAAGGAGCCCACGUGUGGGCUUUUUGCAGGUACCGCAUGAAUAAGGACCGGCUAAUUCCGUGCCAGCAGCCGCGGUAAUACGGAAGGUCCGGGCGUUAUCCGGAUUUAUUGGGUUUAAAGGGAGCGUAGGCCGCCCCUUAAGCGUGUUGUGAAAUGCGGGUGCUCAACAUCCGACUUGCAGCGCGAACUGGGGGGCUUGAGUGCGCCGAAAGUAGGCGGAAUUCGUGGUGUAGCGGUGAAAUGCUUAGAUAUCACGAAGAACUCCGAUUGCGAAGGCAGCUUACUGUAGCGCAACUGACGCUGAUGCUCGAAAGCGUGGGUAUCGAACAGGAUUAGAUACCCUGGUAGUCCACGCGGUAAACGAUGGAUGCUCGUUGUCGGCCUUUGAGGCCGGUGACCAAGCGAAAGCGUUAAGCAUCCCACCUGGGGAGUACGCCGGCAACGGUGAAACUCAAAGGAAUUGACGGGGGCCCGCACAAGCGGAGGAACAUGUGGUUUAAUUCGAUGAUACGCGAGGAACCUUACCCGGGCUUGAACUGCGGCGGAACGAUUCCGAGAGGAUGAGGCCCUUCGGGGCUGCCGCGGAGGUGCUGCAUGGUUGUCGUCAGCUCGUGCCGUGAGGUGUCGGCUUAAGUGCCAUAACGAGCGCAACCCCCGUCUUCAGUUGCCAUCGGGUUAUGCCGGGCACUCUGGAGAUACUGCCACCGCAAGGUGUGAGGAAGGUGGGGAUGACGUCAAAUCAGCACGGCCCUUACGUCCGGGGCUACACACGUGUUACAAUGGCGCAUACAGAGAGUAGGUGGCAUGCGAAUGCCAUCCAAUCCUUAAAGUGCGUCUCAGUUCGGACUGGGGUCUGCAACCCGACCCCACGAAGCUGGAUUCGCUAGUAAUCGCGCAUCAGCCAUGGCGCGGUGAAUACGUUCCCGGGCCUUGUACACACCGCCCGUCAAGCCAUGAAAGCCGGGGGCGCCUGAAGUCCGUGACCGCGAGGGUCGGCCUAGGGUGAAACCGGUGAUUGGGGCUAAGUCGUAACAAGGUAGCCGUACCGGAAGGUGCGGCUGGAACACCUCCUUU
rfam:Prevotella sp. oral taxon 317 str. F0108 genomic scaffold supercont2.14, whole genome shotgun sequence.